AGAGAUGUGAAAACUGGAAGAGAAACAGGAAGUACCUCCAGGAUUCACCUAAAUAGAUGCUGCGGUUUCUAUCAAACCACAGGCCACCCCAGCAUCUCAGUGGCUUCUAUAGGUUGUCCUGAAAGAGCCAUGAGGCCAGGGCCCUUGAUGGAUUCCCAGAUACCAGCUGCUCCUCCAGACACCAAUUCCACCCUCCACCUUUCUGUGUCCGUCCCAGACCAAGGCAGCCCAGGACUGGUAUCCUUCUAAGAAGAGGAAGGCACAUCAGAGGAGAGGCCAUGUGAGGACACCAUGGGAAGGCGGCCACCUGCAAGCCAAGGAGAGGGGCCUCAGGAGAAACCAGCCCUGCUGACACCCUGAGCUCCUUGCAAUUCCAGCCUCCUAGACUGUGAGAAAAUACACUUGUGUUAUUUAA
rnacentral:lncRNA from 10 species